rnacentral:lncRNA from 1 species
CGGUCAAAGCGACCAGAGUCGGGCCUAUUGAUUCGGCCCGAACUCCAUUUAAUUAGAGCCACGCGCCAAGGCCGAAGCGUUCGCCAAAUACCCUCUCCCCGCUCAAACCUUGGAAGGUCCAAACGUCUCAACAACCGAAAUGAUAUCCUCACGUGCCUGUGCAGUCUCAAAGACGCACAACCAAUUAAACCUCCACUUGGGAGACAGGAAGGCACCAGGGCGUCAAAUAGUAUACCAGAAUAACCGUCUCGGUCGAACGCGCCAAAGGCAUUGAAUCCCAACACAGUUCUCAAACAGCUAGGAAGUGCCACGUGGCAAUCACAAAGACAAUGAUUGUGUCAUCCGGGUUUUUUUUUUUUUUUUGUUAAGGGAAGCCAUUAAAAUACAGAGCACGAACUCAGGAGUUUUCGCAGAGGAGAGAAUAAAAUAUAAAAGAAAGACAGAGAACGAAAGCAAAAGAAGAAUUAGAAAGAAAAGGAGAAAGUAGAGAACGAGAGAAGUAUUUCAAUAACAUCUCUUUUUAAAAUUUUUUUCUUACUUCAAUCAGUAAUUUUCUGAUUUAAUAUUUUGGUGAAUUUGGUUGCAGGGUUAUUUAGAAUCUUCUCUCUUUUUUUCACUUUUUUUCCUUCUUUUAGUUUCACCCUUUCUCUCAUCCGCUCUCCUCUCAACGAGAAGAAGGAAAUUUUCAGCAGGUAGAAAAAUGAAUUUUGUUGAUAAAAUGUCGAACGGAAUGCGUAGAGUUUGGACCGGUCUCGCCACACGCCUCGGGGUUCGUAAAAGCGGUAAGUCUCAACUCUCAACCGUCUUAAUUCUAACUCGUCGCCAAUUUGAUGAUUUUAGCAAGGCUGAGAUCAAGAAAGGUCUCCUUUUCUCUUUAGUUUUUCUUUUUUUUGAAAGUUUUCUCCUAUAACUGAAAUGUUGAUGACAAUGACCCGUACUUCCUUUAAAAUGAUUGAAGUGAUUAUACUCAAUUAGCCAUAUUUGUUGGGGGAAGGAACAGGGCUGUUGAAGCUGCAAAAGGAAGUAAGCUCGUGUGAAUACGGGGAUGUGCAUGUGAUGUGGGAGUUGCUGAGGAGAUCCGAAAUAGAAAUGGGUGAAUCCCCCAAAAGAUGCAAAAAGCGACGAUUGAGAAAAUGCUUUCAAUGGAGAAGGUCUCCUUUUCAUCGUCGCUGCUUCUCAUGAGCAUGGGCAUUACUUUUCCUUUCAGGGUUUCAGUCAAUUCUUUAUUAUUAUUUCAUCCCCUCUCUCUGUGUGUAUAUCCCUGGUUAGAAAGGGUUUUUUCCCCAUCGUAUCGGUCCAAACAAGAGAGGAAAUAAGGAGGGAUUGGUUUUAUAAGAUUGCUCCUAUUCCCUCUUUUUCUAUAUACCAACUAUUUGUAUAUAUCAGCUGCCUGCCAAGUGAUUGCGUUCUCUAUCUCGUACAUUGUCAUAAACUAUAUAUAUACUUCGGUAUAUGUGUUUUCUGAUGUCCUUUAAAACAUGCUGCCAGUGCCAUGUUUUACGUAUUUGAUGUUUUCACGAAAAUUUGCAGAGGAAAAAAACAUGGUUCAUCUAUGAUUUGGCAAUUGGUUGUUGUUGACUUUCCUUGUGAUUCUUCUUUUCUUUUUUUUUUACAUAUAUUUCGUUUUCCACAUGUUGAUUUUAAAAUUCCAAAUCAAAUACUAAGCUCUGAAUUCAAGCUUCCAAUCAUCACGAAGUCCAUACUUCACUACAUAUAUCUGCUAAGAUUAUGGAGACACUGGGUCAGAAUAGAACGAAUUUGGAUCAACCAAAGCGUUACAACUUUAGCUCAUUUUGAUAGAAAAUCUUGCUGCUUGUUGCUCUUCACGCCAAGUAUAUUGAUGCAUUCCAAUUAGGGCUUAACAAAGAAACUAAGAAAAUCCAAAAAUCGAUUUAAAUCAAUGUAUUUAAUUUGAUUUUAGGUUGGUAUAUUAUUUAAAUUGCACAAUUCAAUUUGGAUUUGAUUUAUUUGAUUUUAGGUUGGUGUAUUAUUUAAAUCGCACAAUUCAAUUUGGAUUUGAUUUUUUCACAUGGAACCCGUUUUAUCUAUAAAUUGAUCAUUUCAAUAUUUACAUAGACUAAUUCAUUUAACUCUAUUAUUAUUUUUAUUAACUAGAUAUGAUCAUAAAAAAUAGUUGCAAAAAUAUUUGAUAAAAAGAUUGUAAUUAUAUUAGAGUAAGUGAAUCAUUUUUUAAUAUAAUAAUUAUAAGCAUAAGCAUAAUUUUAAUUUUAGAAAAAUAGUUUAUUAAAAUUUAUAAUAUUUUAUUUAUAAAAUAAAACAACUUUUCACAAUCAUAUAUGUUUUAUAGUGACGAAUUUAAUCAAUUAUAUGACAUAGUGUAAUCACUCAGUUAUAAUUAAUUAAAUUAAUUCAAAAAAAUGACACAGAAAAACAUUACGUAUACUAAUGGUUUAUGUAUUAACUUUAGUUUUAAAUUUUUUUAAAUAUUUUUAUUAAUUGCUAUGAUAUUAAUUUAAUUAUAUAAUUCAUAUAAAUGAAUCUAGAAUGAAAAAAUCUAGACUUACACUAUUAAAAUUUUUUAGGACCAAAUUAAAUAUUUUAAUUUUUAUUGUAUACGGUUUUGAUUUCCAAAAGCCGAACCCAACCAAUACACCCUCUAAAUUCCGAUCAAUCUUCCAAAAUUUUAUUAUUAGCGGUUUUACCAUUUAGAUGGAAUAUUGUUCGCCAUUCGAACUCUAGCAUCAAAUCUCACUUGUCUUGUUAUUCACCGUAGGCCCAGUACCUGCUGCCAGAUGCCUCUUUAGAAAUUGCAGGUGAAAAAAGAGAUGGUCCAGUCCAGUCUCUCUUUUAAAAAAUGAAGAUGGGCUUAAAACCAUCUUUUUCCACCUAUUGGAUGGUAAAGCUCCUUUUCCUACUCUUGAGUCCUAGAUAUUCCAACAACUAAACAGGCCUAAUCCCCCGGGACACAGAACCACUUUACUGGCUGCGGCUGGACCACAAAGCUUCUUUCAUUUAGGAGAGUAAAUUGCUGCUAGAUAUAACGAAGGCAUUUCUAUUUCUUCUAUUUCUAAUGCUUAUGACCAAAACUUAAAGACUCUAUGUUACUCCCAAGUGCUUCGCAGCUUAUCAAUAAUGAAAUAUCGAAUCCUAUUUUAGUCCUAAUUUCAGUACUGCUUUCUAGGGUGUUGGUGGCGUCCAUUUUUAGAGUAAGCUUUUACUCCUUGGCUGCGUCUUGUAGCCCUUGCAUGCGUACAACUAAAGUUAAUUAUUACCAAAAGCUGGCAGGCAGCCUUUUUAGUUAUUAACUUACAGCAACACCUGUAGACAAAAUCGUCACUUUUCACGCUUAUCACCUCCAUUCUUCCACAAGCCACCGAUUGUAAUAAAGGGUUGUUUCAAAACUGGCGGUCACUAUUCUUCCCCCUGAGCUUUAAUGGUUGGUAAGUGUUUAAUCGGUAGUAUUGCAGUAGUAAUAUUUAAUGGAGUGAGGGAAAUCGAACGCCGUGCCUCUCGGCAUACGCGAAGCCAACGCUAUAUCAAUUGAGCUACAACUUUUCUGCAACUCUAUUUGCUUCCCUAAUUUUCAUUAGGGCUAUGGCGAAUCCAUCUAUGUCUGAGAGAAAGCAAGCAAACGAUGAGGUGUGUAACAGAGAAACCAAAGUGCACGGCAACUGGCUCAAAACAAAUGCUAAAAAGGGUUUCCGAGACACGAACGUACGUGGCGAAUGGCUCGCGUUCCCAGCAAACAUUUUUUGUUUUUUGUUUUACCGCAUUGAUGUCUUCAUUCAUUUCUCACAAUGACACUGUUCCCUCCCAUGCAUAAAUCAAUGGCAUUUAAUCCUUUUCUGCAUCCCUACAGCCAUGAGAGAUCAGACAAUGAAACUCACAUGCCUUCUUUUAUUAUUUCACUUACCCCACCAUUAAAGUUCCAAACUUUUUUACAUUAUAUAUUUUUUAUAUUAUCAAGCACACUGCAUAUUCAAAGCCUCAAAGGCAUGGCAUGGGCCGCCCUUAGGCACUAGAGACAUAGUUACUAGCCACCUUUCUUCAUUGCCUUAUCUCCACGGAUUUUCCGGUCGACUUUGUUUGAAGUUGCUCCAUUUUGGGGGUGACGAAAGCUGGAUUCCAUUUUUUUUUUUGUCUUUAAAUAUAUUUUGGUGGCUGGAAAAUAGUUUCAUGCGCUGACUCGGUUGCUGCAUAAAAGGCAUUUUUUCCAGGGUGUAAUUGUAGUUGGGAAAAAUCAACUCUUUGUUCGGAGGGGGACUCAUCAAUUCAUCUGCCAAUAACACUGGCAUUAUGAAGGUUCCUGGGAUUUGGGUUUUCUUCUUUGUGAUCGGGACAGCUUUGUUCGUCUUUGCCUUCAGCAGCUCCUCCAUUCCUGGUAAUGUUUUACCUCGUACUAGUUCAUUUCUCUUCUGUUAAUUGGCCUACAUAACCAUCAAGACAAAAUUCCUGUGUUUGUUUUCAUUACUGGAAUUCGGCUAAUAGCUGCAUUGGAAGAUGGCUUAAGUUAUAGUUAAUGCAGCUUCUUAACAUUAUUUAUCUGUUAAUGAUCUGACUGAUCUUAUCAAAAGCACUCUCUAGCUACCACUACCUACAUUUGAAAUUUAUUAAACUUUUGUUUUUAAGAAAUUUAGAAGAUUUAAAAAUAUAAGUUAAAUGGUUAAAAUUUUUUGUAUUAAAUUUAAAUUCAUUACAAUAUCAAUUGCCAAUAAAUUUAAAUUAAUUUUAAUAAUGUAAAUAAUUGGGUUUAUGUUUUUGAAAUGGGAAAAGAAAAUAAAAAUAAAAUUCAAAAUACAACAAACCAAAAACUUAAGUUUAACUUUUCUUUUGUGCAAUUAUAUUUGAGAUGUUGAUUGUUUAGUCCAUAAACAAUGAACCUUCAAUCUACAACUCUGGUAAACUGCACAUGGCUCGUUGCUAUUUAAAGAAUUAAAUGACCUCACUGCAUGCUAUUUCUUGUUAUAUAAGUUUGUAGUGUCAAUAAUUUUGUUACCUUCAAAGAAGAAAAAGGUUAAUAAUUUCGGUCAACCGUCUCAAUUCUCAAGCUGUCUUUUACAGAGAUUUGUUUUGGAUCUUCAUUCUUUGGGUUUAAAUAAAUAAUUUAGUGAUCUAUUUCAAUCGUAUUUAUAACUAGUUGAUCAAUAAUUGCAGGCUUUGGUUGGCCCAUAUCUAAAUCAUGCCAAUAAAAUGAUGUAGCUUAAAAUUGCGGUUUUGCAUGUUAAAAAGUAAAUGCAUGACGUUAGUAAAUCAAGUUAAAUAGCAGCAACCAGAUACAUGUCACUGUUGGAAUCAAUCAUUAUUACAUGUUUAAUAGUGACCAGCUUCUUAAAUGUCAGGUAUGGAUUUGCAGCAUGUUGAUGGUACGAGUAUGAGUGAAACAAGUAGAAAGCUGAAGGUAUACACAUUCACUACAUGCAUGGCCACAAUCUGCAAAGAGAACCCUUUUCUUUCGUUUCCGAUUUUGAGACAUUUUCUCAUCUGAAAUUUGCAGGGGAGUGGAUACAGUCCAAGCAAUGAAAAGAGGAGCAAUGUGGAUGUGGAUGAUUACGAUCCUAUUGAUCCAGUUCCAAGCUCCAAAGCAUCCAUAAAACCUGGUCCUAUUGAGCAUGGUACUCCUCUUAUUCCCUACAUCCCAAAACCCUCACCUCCAGAUCAUCCCAAAAUUGGUGGUUCCACUUAGCCAUCCAAAAAAAUCUUCUGAAGAACAUGCGAAUGUAAUAUCUGUAUCGUACCUCGUGUUUUAACCAGCUUUGUUCUCUGAAUCCCGUCUAUUCAAUAACUUCAAGUUGCCUAUAUGUAUGCAGCUUAUGCUUGUGUUGAAUCUGUUUGGCAUUGGCCUUGUAUCCUGAAUAUCACUUCUUUUAAGUUAAUUUGAUUGCCAUUUGUAUUGGUUUUCCUUCAUAUCAUCAAAUCCUUGAUCUCCAAACCCAUCAAUUAUCAUAAAAUUCAUAGCUGAAGUGCCAAUUUCUUUCAUGACCCCAGCAGCUUAAUGAAACACACAGAAGGGUCAUGAUAAAAAGAGUUUGUGAAAGCGACUGCUUUCAUUUGGUCCCCUUUCCUUUGGUUAUCUAUGCCUUAUGGAAAGGGGUAGAGGAGAUAUCAUAAUCACCAAAGCAAUGGGACCGAAGAAAGCUAGCUCAUUUAUCCUGCCCAUUUUGCUUCAACUACCAUGUGAUAGAGUUUGAGAACGUUGCUUGAAAAUGGAUUAGUUACUUUGAUUACAAUGACAUGUUGAUUGGCUUCCCCAUCCAGCAUGGUUUAAUGCAAAACCAGUUUGUUUUUGCUUGACUGGUUUUGUAGUAAAUGGUGGUUCAACGGGUGAGCAAAAUUUGAUUCGGCUCGUAAAAGUGAAAAAAAAUUGAGUUUCAAAUUAGUUAAAUUAAAUUAAUCGAGUUAAUUGAAUCAACUCAACUUUUUUUUUCGAAUUUUGUGUUCAAAUUGAAUUAAAUUUUUGAAUUAAUAAACCAAAUGACAAACUCUUUUACUUCCCUUCCCCUCAACUCCCUCAAAUCCUUUUAUUUUCUCUCAAAAAUUUUACUUCCCCAAACCUUCGAAAUUUUUUUACUUCUCUCCCAAAGCUUUUACUUCCCCCAAAUCCCCUACCUUUUAUUUUAUCCCCAAAACUUCUACUUCCCCCUAAAUCCCUCAAAACAUUUUUCUUUUACUUUCAUCUUAAGACUUUUACUUUCCCCAAACCCUCCAAAAAUUUUUCCAUUUAUUAUAUAUUUUUAUUUUUAAAAUAGAAGGCAACAAGAAUCAAUAGAUAAUUGAAGCAACUAAGCAAAGAAAGAAGCUAACACGUAUAUAAAAAAUUAAUAAAUAAAUUAUAAAGGGAUGAAAGUUAAUAACAAAUUUGAUUAAUGUGGGCAAAUUUGAUUAUGGUAGGUGGCAGUGACUAUAAUGACCCAAAGUCAUUUUUUUUAUUUAAUUUGAAAAAUAUAUUUGAUUCGAUUCGAAUUCCAUAUCAUUCAACUUGAUUCGAGAAAAUUUCAAAUCGAGUUAGGAUGAUAAAAUAUGAUUCGUCAACUCGAUUAACUCGAAAUCUUUUCAUUCGAUUCAAUCAAACGCCCACCCUUAAAUACAGCUGGAGGAACUGUUAAUCUCUCACUUGUUUACCAUGGAGAGAAAACCAGUGGGGGGAUAACUUUUUUUUUUUGGUAAAGAAGAAAUUACAACUCAAGUAUCAAACAUUUACAAAAAGUCAUCACAUAAUUCUCAUCAACCAACCGUAACUCCGAUUCUCUCACUCACACAACCUUGACAAUGGUAUAACUUUAAUACCAAUUAUACAAUGCUUGUCAUUCAUGUAUUCAAAAAAGAAAUCCUAUUUCUUCAGCGGGGGAACAAAUAUUUUUGUUGCGUCUGCUGCAAGCAAUAGCUUCAUUAAGCAAAGGUAAAAGCCAUGAUAUGAUAACAGCCGACAUAGUGAUCAAUUAGACAAACAGACUACUCUGAUCAGAUUUGUAUGAAAUUGGGAUCCUUUUAUGGAGAUGGUCCUUUGAUGGAAUUUAAUGGAAGCUUGUUUUUGGUGUCCCAAAAUAUUGUGAUUAUGAUUUGUGGAAUUUUGGGAAAUUUAGGUCGUCUUCUUUUUUCUCUUUGUGUACUUCAUGAAUCAAAUUUGUUCACGACAGAUUCCUUGGGUGAUGCAUUGAACAAAACUUGAGGACCACCGAGAAAAAAAAUGGAUUCAUUGCUUAAAUAAAUGUUUUAUGACAGGACGAAGCCAGAACAAAAUUUUAGGGGGCCGAAUGAAAUUUUAAUUUUUUAUGGUUUAUAUCGUUAGAAUUUUUAAAGAAUUAAAUCGAAUUUUUAUAAUUUUAAAAGGGCAAAGUGUAAUUUUACCUUUACUAAUUUAAAAUUUUUUUAAAAAAUUAAAUAGCCUAAAUAACAAUUUUUCAUUUUAGGGGACGGGAAAUCGCCUCUGCUUUAUGAGUCUGAUUUAAUGCACAACUGUUAAUAAAUUAAAAUGAUUAUGCUUCCUAGUACAGACAUGUUGAGCUUAAUGGUCAUUUGUAGGUAGUAGGGAUAUAGUACUAAGAUUAGAGCAUAAUUGGGAUAUAUGAUUGUGACUUUCCCUUUAAGAUGCACCUAGACAAGUCUUUUUUUUGGUUAAUAUGUGAAUAUUUUUUAAAUAAAUAUUGAUUUCAAUUACAUUUUUUUACACCUCAUUGUGAGUUGGAUUGUCUUUUUAGUUUAAUGGUUUAAUUCAAUUUCAAUUAAAUAACUUUAGGUAUAUUUUUAUUUAAAAUUUAAUUAUAAAAAUACAUUAUUGUAACAUCUUCAAUACCCUUGAGUCGAGAACAAUGUUAAAUUGAGAGUAAAUAAGUUAGAAUUUGAGAAGGUUAUAAAAUAGAAAUCAUAAGCGUUAGUAGAAGGUGAAGAAAGAUAUUCAAGGUAAUUGAAAAGAAUAUAUGAGAAAUAAAUUCGAGGUAUUGACUAGAUUGUAAGAGAGUGAAAAGUGAGAAAAUUAAGAGAUAGAAUGAUUAGAUUGAAUUGAAAGAAAAAAUGAGGAGCCACUAAAGGUGAAUUUUGACCAAAAGAAAAUAUGACACAUGAAUAGUAUUGUAGAGAAAGUUAAGGGAUUAAAUGGUCAAUACUCAAUUUAGAUAAUUAUGGAAAGAAUAAUGAUUAAGGACUAAAUUGGUGUAAAAGCAUGAUUGGUGGAAAUAUUUUAAUAAUUAUUAUUUUUAAUUAUUAAAUUAAUAGAUUUAAUUUUACAACAAUGUAGAAAAGAUGAUAACAUUCACAUUUAUUCAUCUUUUCUCCCACACGUCACUUAUUUCAUGAACAGCCAAAGUUUUAGUUUUAUUCAUUUUGGUCCUUUUCACCAUUUUCAAGCCUUCCAAGCUUUAUUCCUCCAAUUUCUUUCAUAAAUAUUUAGUGAAAUUAAAAAGAGAAACCUAGUUGUUAUGAUAGUUUUGUAGUUGUCCUGGAAAAGAGAGAAAACAAAAAUUAGGGUUUGAUUACAACAGAUCAAGGUAAGAAUGAUAAGUUUUAUAUGGAUUUCAUGUUAGUUUUAUUCAAAUAGUAUAGAUAUGGCAUUUGAUUAUAAUUUUGAUAAAUAAAUCUUGUAUAUUUGAUAUGAAAAUGAAUAAAAAGAGAAGAGAAAAGAUUAACAAGUUGGGGACAAAGGCAAAGAAAUAGCUAAAGAGUAGAAGAAGAAGAAAAAGAAAGCUUGAUUCUAUGCCUUUGGUAGUAGGGGUGAGCAAAAUCCGAUUCGAUUAAAAAAUUCAAUAAAAAAUUUAAAUUUUGAAUUAAGUAGUUUGAGUUAAUCGAGUUAUUCGGACCAACUCGAAUAAAAAAUAAAAAAAUUCAAUUUAACUCGAAUAUGAAUUACACAUCUCGAGUUAUCUGAAAAUCCGAAUAAGAAAAGACAAAACUACAUCGUUUUGAUAAAUGUUUACCCAUCAACCUUACUUAUGUAGUUAAAUAAUUUUGUAUUUCACGCAACAUUGAGUAUAAAUAAUAUGAUUCAAUAACUUAACUCAACUUGACUCGAAACUUUUUUACUCGAUUCGACUCAAAUUGAGUUCGAUUGCUAAAAUAGGAUUCAUCAACUCAACUAACUCGAAAUUUUUUUACUCGACUCAAUCGAAUGUUCACCCCUAUUUGGUAGUAAGUACAACAAGAAUUUACUUAAAUAAUAUCUAAAUAUAGAAUUUUGUUAGAUUAGUUAUAUUUAUGUGAUUAAUUUUAUACAUGAUUAUGUUAAUAUCUAAUAUGAGAUAGAUUAGUGAAUGUAUUGAAAUUUAAUACGAGGUUGGUUAAUAUUUAAUAAUUUGUUUUUAUUUAUUUUAAUAUUAUAUAUUAUCUUAUAAAAACUUUAUGUUUAAAUUUUGAUUUUUGUUUGGAGUAAGGUGAAAUGUUUAAAAAUUGAGAAUAAAAUGUAGAAUAUAUAUUUUUUAAUACUUUAAAAUUUAUACUUAUUAAAAAUUUAAUUAUAUUCCAUAAUUAAUUUCAAAUAACAUGUCAAACAAUUUUACAACUUAAAUUUAGUAUUUAAAUUUUCAAUACCUAAUUUUUCAACACUUUUUUUUAUAUGUAAGUUAAAAAGGAUGAAAAUAAUUGAAUAAUUUACACUAGUGCUAUAUCAACCCUGUAAGAAAAUAAAGACAAUAUUAAAAUUUAUAACUAAGGACUUUUAAAAAAAUAAAAUUAUUGAUAAAGAAAUAGAAAAAUCAUAAAUAAUUACUAAUAAAAAUUGAAAAAAAAUUAUUUUUAUUUUAAAAAAUAUUAAAUUUCUCAUAUAAUUUAAUAAUGAAUUAUUCCUCUUGUGUAAAAAUCUCUUUCUUUGAAAAAAAUUGAGUUGAUGUCUAAUUAAUUAGUGAGAUUAACUCAAUCAAAAAUAUUAAUGAUAAUUAGAUUGUUCCACCCAUGAAGUGGGUAAUUUUUUUUAGUAAAAAUGUAUAUUUAUUAAAAAUUAAUAUAAAAAAUAAAUCUUAUGCUAUUUUUUAUUAAUUUUAUAUAAAAAUAUUAUUGUAAUAAUAUAAUUUAUUUUGUAAAAAGUAUGAUUUUUUUGUCAUUUUCCAAUUGAGUCUUCGUCUAGUUGUCUCAUAAAAUAAACUUAGUCAAAGAUUUAAAUAUUACCAUAUAUUACAAUUACUGAAUAUGUAACAUUUAAAUUUGUUAAAAGAUAAAUCUAAUAAUGUAUGAUCUAUAUCUACGUUAUUAUUUAAGCUCAUAAUUGAUUUCAUCUCGCGAGUCAAUCAAAUGCCAAACCAGUUGAAAAAUGAAAAAAAAAAAAGACUUUCUAUAACAUAAGUUAUAUUAUUAUGAAGGUGUUUGUUUUUAUAUUUUUAUAUAAAAUCUAUAAAAAACCAUAUAAUAAAAAUUGAACCGAAGACACCGUAAUUUUUAAACCUUCAACCUCAUCAUUUCAACCAAAUCUUAAUUUGGUUUUUAUAUAAACUUUUAAUAAAUAUAGUAGAAUCUAUAUCUAUAUUAUUAAGCCCCAUCGAGGUGGUAUUACUCAUUAAUUGAGUACCAACUUAAUUGAGAAAUAACUAAAAAUCAUUAUUUAUAUAAAAAUAAAUUAUAUUAUUACGAUAGUGUUUUUGUGUUUUUUAUAUAAGUUAUUUAAAAAUACACAUAAAUGAGAGUUUAUAUUUUAUAUAAAAUAUUAAAAUGCACUUAUUUAAAUUUUAUAUUAUAAAUAUAAAAUAUGGAGGACGAAAUUCCAAAUGUACGAAUUAUAGAGACUUAGAGUAAUGGUUGUUUGAAUCGAUUGAACCAACCGAGGUACUACGUCGGAGAGAGACAUCAAAUUGAUUGAUCUGCGAACUGGUAUAAAUUGGUAGAACUAUACUAAAAAACCAUUUGAAUUAUUUUUUUAAAAUAAUUUUAUUUUUAUGUUUUUAAUUAUUUAUUUAAUCGAACCAUAUGAACCAAUGAUAUAACCAGUUUAAACACCGUUUUGGUUCUAAAAACUUUGCUUAGAAUAUAUUUAAUUUUCAAAUUUUUACUCUAUGAUUUGACAAAAACAAAUAAUCAAUUUAACGCAAAGUGUGAGUGGACUAUACUAAUUAAAGGUAAAUUUAAAACUAUACUUUAAUUUUAUACAAAUUCCACCACUUUACUUUUUUUUUUAUUAAAUUUGCCACUAAAGUUUCAUUUUUGAAUAAAUUUUACUAUUAAAUCUUAUUUUUAUGUUAAUACUUAACGCAAUGUUAUUAGUAUUUUAUUUUAAUAGUUGCCAUUAGUAUAAUAAAUAUUUAUAAAGAUAAACUUAUAUUUUCCUUUUAUAUAUAUCUAUAUAUUAUUUUCAAGUCUUUCUUUUGUUAAAUAAAAAGUACAAGUUAAUUUAUUAUUUUCUGUAGUAUUUUAUAAAUUUAACUUAUUUCUAAUUAUGAAAAUAAAUAUUUGAAAAAAAAUUAUAAAAUACAAAAAAAUCUUUUAAGGUUUGUUUAAUAAAUAAAAAUAAAAAAAUUAAUAAAAAAUUUUAUUUAAAUUUAUUUAGUAAACAAAUCACUUAAAGUUUAUUUAAUUUUUGGCAAAUCUUAAAGGACGUUUGGUUCAAGUCAUGAUUUUCAAAGGUAAAGUGAAUGUGUGAUUUUCAAGGGUAAUGUGAUUGGGGGAAUUUGGGUCGUGAAAGUUUAUAUAUAUAUAUAUAUAUAUUUUCCCUUUUAAUGAUCUUAUUCCUUCAACUAAAACAAAUAACGGGAGUUUUAAGAAAAACUUUAAAAUUAAAAUUAAGAUUUAGAAAAAGCAAAGAAAGAAAUAGUUAAAAUUUCGGGGAAAAUUAAGAGAAAAGAUUGUAUAAAACAGUGACAUCAUGUCAUUUGUACCCAUUUUCCAAUAGUUUUAUGCCACAUCAGCAUUUUUAUCUUGAAUUUUAGCAUAUUCAACCUGAAAAAAAAUCAAAUCCAAAUUAAAAUCCUAAAAUUCAGGAUGAAAUUACUGUUGUGACAUAAAACUAUUGGAAAGAGAUAAUAUCCCUAUUUCAUACAGUCCUUUCUCGGAAAUCAAUGAUAUGAAACUCUAGUAAAAGUAAAUUACCUAUUUGAUUCAAGGGUUUGAUUCAUUGAUAUAAAGAUGAAUUUCAAUGUUGUUUGAUAAAUUGAUUAUAGUUACCAACAAUCACCUAGUAACUUAAUCUAUAACAACCUAUUUUCAGUAAAAUCGGAAUAGUGGUUUGGGGACCACAAGUUCAAGUCCGAAAGAAAAUUUAUUUUAAAAUUAUUUUAUGGUCUAUCGUAUGACAGGAAUAUCGUGUAAAAAUUUUGUUAAGAAAAUUUUAUCGAUUACAUGUUUAAUUGAUAAAAUGAUCAAAUUGCAUAAAAUGUAAAAGUUGAGUUCUAUUAGCUAUAGGUAUCAAAUAACUAUGUAAUUCAAAAUUUGAGGUCAUUAAAUGGCAAAUAGACCAUUAAGAGGAGUUAGUAGAUAAGUAUGAUGAUUCAUCAAUGGAAAAUUAAAUAAAGAAAAGGACUAAAUUGGAAAGAUGAAAUAAUAAAAGAUGAUAUUUUAAUUAAAAAAGAAAUACCAUCAUUUUAUAUCAUCUUUCCCAAAUAAAAAGACAUGGAAACCCUAUUUAGAAGAGCUUGAAGAUAACAAGCUUAUUUGGCUUAAUUGGGUUUGUUUUCUUGUUCUAUUUUUAGGAAUUUUCAUAUUUUCGAGAUCGUAAUAGCUUAAUUUAGCUAUCGCGGGGAUUAAUUUGUAAAGUUGCCAAAGUGCUAGGGUUUUUCCAUUGAUGAGUAUAGUUGAAUUGUAAAAUUUUUAUGGUAGAAAAUAAAAGGUUGAUGAUAGAUAAACAACUUUUGUAAAGGAAAUUUUGAUGAAAUUAUGAUUUAGGGACUAAAUUGAAAAGAUGUACAAUUCAUGGAAAAAUUCUAAAUUUUUUGAAUUAUAUGGGUUGCUAUUGUUACAUGUAAAAAUCGACUAGGCUUGGAAUAAGGAUUAAAUUGCAAGAAUUUCAUUUUUCGAGCUUAGGGACGAAAUUAUAAUUAAAUGAAAGUAUAGGGGCAAAAUGGUAAGUUUUCCAAAUAUGUGAAUUGAAUUGAAUAUGAAUUUAUGUUAAAUUCAUUUAUAUAGAUCUGGAUAAACCAAAUACGAAGUUAGAACGAGGAAAAGAGAAUGUAUCAGAUUAGUAGAUUACAAAUACACGAAAAUUUGUCGAGGUAAGUUCGUGUAAAUAAAUUGUAUAUUUAUAUGUUGGAAUUGAAUGUUAUGUAUGUGAAUUGUAAUGGUCAUGUGUGAAAAUCAAUUACAUAUCCGACAAUGUUCGACAAGUAUUAUGCCCCGUUUGAAUAAAUGAAAUUCGAUGGAUACAGGGUUCCUGAAUUGGUUGUGGUCCUGCAUGUGUUGCGGAUGCACCAUGGCUUGAAAAAGCGUCCUUUUAUUAGCUCUCAUGAGCAUCUCAAUAUUUGGCUCUCACGAGCUUCCCGUUAUAUGAUUCUUGCGAGUUUCCCGUUAAUAGCUCUUCAGAGCAUCCCGAUUGGUUGUGAUUAUGCAUGUGCUGUGGACACACCAUAGCUCUUAUGAGUGUCCCGAUAUAUGGCUCUCCGGAGCUUCUCGAUUAAAUGAUUUUUCAUAAGCUUCCUGAUUAAUGGCUCUCCGGAGCUUCCCGAUAAUGGCUCACUUGAACUUCCCGAUUACAUCUCUUAUGAGCUUCCUAUUACAUGACUCAUAUGAGCUUCCCAUUAUAUGGAUCAAGAGAGUGCUUCUCGUUUAUGUGCUCCAAUGAUCACGUCUUCAUUUCUAUUUUGUUAUUCAAAAUUGCUUCUCUUUUACUAUUAAAAAUAAUUAAUAGAAAAAUUGGAUUUAAAAGUUUGCAUGGGACAAAUAAUCCAAAUGAUAGGUUAAUUUUGUUGAUUGUUUAUGCAAGAUGGUUAGGAGGAAAGGUAAUACAAAACAUACACUGCCUUUGCAUUAUAUGCAUAUACAAAUACUAAAUGUCUUCAACCUGAUACAGGCAAUGAUUAAUAAAUAAGUGAAGGUCCACGUCUAAUCCUAUUAUAUGAGACUAAGACGCCAAAUUUGACUAGCUAAGUUGUUGCCAGGUACUAAAAUUAUGUCGCCCAAUGCUUUAUUUCUUUAGGGCUGGCGUAGUCGACACUGGCCUUUUUCUUUAUAUACCGAUGUUCUUAAAGCUUAAACACCCUCAAGUCACUGAAAAUUAUGUUGAAGAAUUUAGCGGUGUUUGAUUCAAUUCAGCCUUUUUUUUUAAAAAAAAAUUUAUGGCUUCAAUUAGCACGUUUGGAAAAAGAAAAAUGUCGCUAAGGCUCUUUCAUGAGCUUCCUGAUUAAUGGCUCUCCGGAGCUUCCCGAUAAUGACUCGCUUGAACUUCCCGAUUACAUCUUUUAUGAGAUUCCUAUUACAUGGCUCAUAUGAGCUUCCCGUUAUAUGGCCCAAGAGAGAGCUUCCCAUUUAUGUGCUCCUAUGAGCACUCUUGAAUAUAAAUUGACGGAUUUUAGUUUUGUACAAUUUGUGUGUACUACAUGUGUAUCCAUCAAUAUUUUGAAUGAUUCAACGGGCAAAGUUCUGACAUAAGAUAAUGUGAGUUCAAAAUGAAUUAAUACUUGUAUAUACAUGAAAUACAUGGAAAUGAUGUUACUUGAUAUACCUGAAGCAUGACUUGAUUAUUACUUGAAUGUGGAACUUGCCUGAUGACCUUGUUCAUCCAUGAUCAAUGGUUACUAUAUGUGAUUAUAUGACUAACAUGAUGGUUGAGGAUAUGUGUUAGGGCUUUUAGCCAAAUUACUUAAGUAUGCUUUGUAUGCUUACUUUAAAUGAAAAUGAAUGGUAAAUUAAUUUUCUAUUAUACGAACUUACUAAGCAUAAAAUGCUUACUCUGUUUUAUUUUCUCCGUCUUAUAGUACUCUGAAGCUCGUAAAGGUUGGAAGUUGGUCGGAGCUACAUCACACUAUCCAUCGGCCCAUUUCGGUAUAUAUAGAAAAAUAAUUUGGUUAUAAUGGCAUGUAUAAGGUAAUUUAGCCAAUGUUGGCUUAAAAAUAUAUUUUGUUGUGAAUAGCCAUUGGAAUGGCUUGAGUUGGACAUAUUUUGAUAUGUAUAUGUAUGUGUGGCUUAAUAUGUUUGUUGUGUUUAAUGUAGUUGAGUAAUGGAUAAUUUAUGAGUAUGAUAAUGUACGGUUUGAGAUAAUAUGAUUGGAGAAAUAUGCAUAUAAGUUUAUAUAGUUAAUUAGGUAAGAUUGAAUACUUGGACAUAUGGGGUGUUAUGAUAUGUGUUAAACUUGAUUUUGGUUUGAUUUAAAUGUCUUGUAUUGGUUGGUGAAAGUGUUAAAGUGAUGAUGUAGGUGGAAGACAAAAUUGGUGAGAAAAGUGACUUUGGAAUUGGCCUAUUUUUGUUCACAUGGGCAGAGACACGGGCGUGUGUCUCUGCCAUGUGUGACACACGGCCUAGCACAUAGGUGUGUGUUUUGGCCGUGUGUCCCCUGCAUCUUUAAAAUUUCAAAACAAAAUGCUUAAAAAUUUUGACACAGCCUAGCACAUGGGCGUGUGGCUCUGCUGUGUGACCCCUUCACUUAUUUAUUACAAGUCAGUAUGCUCACACGAUCUAGCACACGGGCGUGUGACUUGGCCGUAUGACCCAAGUCAGAGAGCACCCUAAUUUAGACACAAGUUGGGACACGACCGUGUGUCUCUAUUUAGAAUGCUCACAUGGCCUAAGACACGGGCGUGUCUCUUGACCGUGUGAGACACAUGGCCUGGCCACACGGGCGUAUGUCCCUUGCACUUUGGAAAAUUUUUGAAAUUUUACGAAAAAUUCUCUGAGUACCCGGUUUAGUACCGACUUGUUUCUAAUGCAUAUUUUGGGCCUCAAUGGCUCAUAUAAAGGGACAAUAUGAUUGAAUAUGAUUGAUUUCUGAUAUAAAUGUUAAAUGGUAUGAAAUAUCUGUAUUUGAUCUGUAAAUUUUGGUAAUGCUCUAUAACCCUGUUCCGGCGACGGAUAUGGGUUAGGGGUGUUACAUAAUCUUUUCUUACCUUCUCGAUAAUAAAGAAAAUCAUCAUUAAUUCCUUCAUUUAUUGACAAAUAACCCUAUAAUGAUCACUUAGGAAUUUAAUUUAUCAAUAGCAUUGAGAAUGAAAGAGAUCCAAUUCUAACCAACAAACAUACAAUCAAUAUUUAUUUAAGUUAGACCGCAUGCUCAUACUACACAAAUAAUCAUGCAAUCAUCACAAAUAUUAGAAAUCAAUCGAUCGACUAAUUAUCUAAUUGACAAAUCAAUUAUUCUAAGCUAUUAAAUAUUGACAGAAUACUUAACAAACCUGAACAAUUGUAAUUAAACCGGAAGACGUGCAAAUACUAAAUAACAAAUAAAGAUUAAGAGUAAUUCGAUCUCAAAAACUUGUAGAAUCAAACUUCGAAUAUUACUUCAACUAGAAAGAUAGAUUUAAAAACCUAUAAAAUAAAGAAAACAAAAUAAAACUAAGAAUGGUUGGGUCUCAAUCUCCCCAAAUCUUAACCUAAUAAUGUCUAUUUAUAGGGCUAAAAUAAUAUAAUGGAGAAAAUACAAAAGUGCCUUUUAUUAAAUAAAGUAGAAUUUUUCUAGGUUUCUUAGCUAUUUUAGUGUCGAACUUCCAAGCCGUUUUGGGUGCCUUCCUGAUAUUUUUGGGCUUCAAGUAUGAAAUAACUUUAGAUAAUUUUUUUAAUUCUCUCGGAACCUGGGCCCAAAAUGAAGGUCUUAGCUCAAGUUGUGGCCGAAAUACUAAAACUACAUUGUUGAAAGUCUAGAACCACAAAAACUUUGACAAAAAAAUUUAAGCUUUUUUUUCUCCAAUUAUUCUCUAAAUCAAUAAUAAAUAGAAUAUAAGUAUAAAUGAUUUAAUUAAGAACAUAAAUAGCAUAAUUCAAGGCAUGAAACAUCACAAAUAAUUAGUAAAUUACACAAUUAUCAACGAUAUUUUUGUAUAACAUUACUACGCUUGGUUUGCGAAGAUUAUCUUGAGUCAAUAAUAUUACACUCCAAAUAGUAUUAAGAUUGGCAUUGGCACUUACAAUAUAGUCCAACGGAAAAAAAUGUUGCAGAUUGACUAGCUAAAAGAGUGUAUUGCUUAAUAGGAUCUUGAAUGUUUACAAUGAACCAUCGCAGGAUGUCUUAACUUGUUAACGACAGAUGCGAUUGAUGGUGUCUUUUCUAGAUUAGCUGUUAGUUAAUUGUUUAAGUUAUCCCUCUCGUUUUUAUCGAAAAAUGUAAAAUUUCAAGAAUAAUUUUCUUUCUUAUAAUUUUGAUCAAUUUUAUCCCUAAACUAAAAAAAAUCUAAUUAACUUUCAACUUUUGCAUGACAUAAAGCACAACAGCCUUGUAUUCUUACAAUAACACGUAGUAAUUAAUAUAUUAAUUAUAACAAUAUUAUAUUAAAUGUAAGAUUUACUUUUUUGUAAAAAUAAAAGUUUAUAAUAAAAUGAAAUGGUUUUUAAGUAAUAUAUUUUAAUGAAUAUUUAGAUUAAUGUUAAAAAGAAUUAAACUCGUGUGAAAAUAAAUUUUAUAAUGAUAACAAUUUAGCAAUAUGUACAUACCAUUGACAAAAAUAAAAACCCAAAUGAAUCAAACUGAAUAAUACAAUAUCUUCAAUGAUAAUUUUAUAAUUCGAUAUAUUUCAUAAAAUAUUAACAAACAUCCUUUACCACUAGUUGAAGGGUUGAAGGAUUUGUGGAGUGUUACCAAAAUCUUUAAAACAGCCAUGUAAUAAUAAUAAUUCAACGUUCUCUUAAAAGAAUUUAAAUUCGAGCGUCGUUAGCAUUAGCGUAACGUCUCUCUGAAUAUUUCAACCUCCUCUCCUCAACAUCCUCUUUUCCCUCUCCUUUUCUCCUAAAAAUUUCCCCACUACUACUCGCCUCCACGUGUAAAUUAUUUUCCAAUAUUACCCUCAUCCGUACACGUUGCCCCCUCAUCCUCGCGCGUCUCAAUCCUCCCUCCCCGCUUCGCGAGUCCAAUCCUCUCCCUUCAAUUUUUAAAAAGCGAUUUAAGAAGAAGGAAAAAAAAAGCAAACCCGAGUACGACUUAACGUUAUGCACUCAAAUUUCGCCUAAACUGUGCUCAUUCCCUUCUUUCAUUCUCGCUUUUCCUCUCAAGCUCUCGUUCGUCGCCAACGGUCAUUUACAGGCUUAAAACAAGGAAAAUUCUGUUAAGCUAGGAUUUAUAUUUAAUUAACUCUAAACUCUGAUUCUCCUUUUUUUUUCUCCUUUGAUGUGAGAUUUUCAGGAGGGUUUAUAGGGUUUUGGAGAAGAGUGAGGUUAAUAAUCUGCGAGAUUGUGAGGAUUCAAUUUUGUGAGUGCACAGCAAUGGUAGCGACAGUGUCCGCAGCGGUAAACCCCAAACAUCGCGGAGGAGUAACACAGCCACACGGCCAACACCAAAUCCCCUCACGGCCUCCUUUAUUGCCUUCCGACCCCGACAAUGCCAUCGCUCCCCGCCGUCAAAAGUUCCGUGAAGUCACUUCUCGUUAUUUGUCCACACCGUCAUCCUCCUCAAAUUCUUCUAUAUCAUCGUCGUCUUCUUUCGCGGCUGCUAGCAAACGGUGUCCAUCGCCGUUCGUUUCGACGUCAACGACUCCAUCAGCUAUCAAGCGGUCGCAAUCGGUGGAGCGGAGACAGGCGGUGACGCCGCGGCCUAACAAUUCUAUGAAAUUGAGAAGUAGUGACGGUAACAAUAAUGGCGAAUUAUCCGCUGCUCAGAAGUUGCUCUUCACUUCGACAAGAAGCUUAUCUGUCUCGUUUCAGGGAGAUUCGUUUCCCUAUCAAUUUAAUAAAGCUAAACCGGCUCUAUCUCCAAGCGCGGCAAGGAAGGGCACGCCGGAGAAGCGAAAACCAACGGCGAUCACAACGACACCGGGUAGAGGAACAGAUCAAACGGAGAAUUCAAACACAGAGCGGUUGCCGGCGAGCUUCAGAAAACCAAAUUCGAUGAGCCGAAAGGUGGAUUGCACCGUCGAGAGGAAGAGGCUAAACGGAUCUGUUAACGGAAAUGUAGUUAGGGCACUACAAAAUUCCAUGAUUGAUAAUAGGGAUUCAACGGCCGUUACUGCCCUUGGAUCUGAGGCUCAAUGUGAUCCCUCGGCUUCGGAUACUGAAAGUGUUUCCUCUGGAAGUACUUCAGGAGCUCCAGAAGGUUCUUGUAAUGGUAACGGAGACGUUAAGCGUGGGCCUCGGGGGAUAAUUGUCCCAGCCCGGUUUUGGCAAGAGACUAAUAGUCGGUUACGCAGGUCCGAUCCUCUUUCGCCGGUUUCUAAGAAAAAUACCGCUCCCUCUAAGAUAAUUGCACCGGAAAAGUUCGGCAUUGAUAGUCCUUCAUCGUCUCCGAAAGGUGUAGUGAAUAGCAGGGGACAGUUAUCGCCAGUUCGUGGAUCAAUUCGGCCUGCAUCACCAGGUAAGCUUGGGGCCUCCACUACUUCGUCUCCUUUGAGGGGAAUGAGUCCCUCUAGAGUGAGGAGUGGAUUGGCUAGUAAUUUGGUAAAUACUCCAUCAAUUUUGAGCUUUAAUGGUGAUGUUCUUAAGAUGGGUAAGAUUGGGGAGAAUAAGGCUUCGGAUGCUCAUUUUUUGAGGCUACUUCAUAAUAGGCUGUUGCAAUGGCGUUUUGUUAAUGCUAGAGCAGAUGCUGCUAUGUCUUCCCAGAAGUCUAAUGCAGAGGUAUGGCUUUAAGAAUUACCUCUGAAUUGUUCUCAUGUUGCGUUUACCAUUAUAUUUUCAUGAUUUAUCUAUUACGCUUUCUGGUGUUGGUGUGCUUCAGUUUUCCGUUAAUAUUUUAUUUAGAGGUACAACUCACAGCAACGUUGCAUGCCAUCAACAGUAAAGUAUUAUGGCUAAGUUUACUUUGUAAUUUGGAUGGCGAGUUACACAGAUCAUGACUAGAUGAUAUAUUUAAUUCCUGCAAAUGUAUCUUGGCUGCAUGGAACUUGUCUUGCUUCUAUUGCCUGGAUCAUUCAGAACUUUUGACCAGAUACUCGGGAAGAAGAUGGCAAACAAAAUUGCUUUUAUGGUAUAGAAGCAGUUUCCUUAUUGUCUGCAAGCAGUCUGUGAGAGUUGUUUUGUAGCUUAAAAUUGAUCAUGUUAACGGAGAGAAGCUGAAGUUUCGGUGAAGGAUUGGAUUAUUAACAUGUGGGGUUGGCGUUUUGAAUUCUUCCAACAAGUUCUUCUUCCCCUUUAUAAACAGCUUUUCCAUUAGAAAUUCUUACUUCGGCUGUGUAAAUGGAUAUCCUUAUACAAAUAUUUUAUAGACGAUACUAGAAUGGUGUGAAAUGAGACUGUAUGCCUGCUUUGCAUAUCAAGGGAAUCUAAGAGACACUGAGUUCAGUAUACUUUAAUUUCAAAUUAAGAAUAAAUUUAGAAAGUUGAAUGUUUGAUAGGAAGAAGCUGGCUUAAUAGUUUCUGACUUUUUUGGUUUAAGGAAUGAGUCAAAGAGGGCGUCUAUAGUAUUUGGAGCAAUUUGAUCAAAUAGAGGCAAGCAGAGUUUGCAGAUUAUAUUUGCUAUAGAAACAGGGUGAUUGAAUGAUUCAUUCUGAGAAGGAAGAAGCAGGGGAAAUAAGAGUUCCAUUCAGAUUUUUCAUGUUUUAACAGCUGAUGUGAUUAACAUUAGUUUCAAUUAUCGUUUUGCAUUGUGUCUCUGAGGGCCUUCAUUUAGCUGUCCUAUUGUUUCUGAGGCUACUUAAAUUAUUAAUAUCUGAUGAAAAAAAAAUCCUUUUUGUUGUCAUGUUCCAUUGAAACAGAAAAGUCUCUGUGGUGCAUGGAUAACUACCUCAAAACUUCGAGAAUCUGUUAGAGCCAAAAGAACUGAGUUACAGCUGCUGAAGCAAAAGUUGAAGCUGAUUUCCAUCCUAAAGGGGCAAGUAAGAACCAUCUCCCCAUUGUGGAAAUUUAUCUUGUUGAUUUGAUUCUUACUUCAUUUUGCUAAUCUAAACUUGAUUUCCGCUAGUUUCUCAUUGUCUACCUCUUCCAUUACAUUUCAAACUGUAUAUCUCUCUGUCCCGCUCUAUCUCUCCUCCCCCAUCCCUUUUUCUCUCUUCUCAUCAACUUUCCUUGAAAUUGAAAGUUGAAUGAUUUUACUUUCAAGUUGCUCCUUAUCUGAAGAAACGUGAUAUAUAAUUAUUUCAACUGUAAUUGCAUGUUUCAAUUCAUGCAAUCCUAUACUCUUUCACAUUUUGACUGCUUUCCGUUUUAUUGAUGAAUGCAGAUGAUUCUUUUGGAUGAAUGGGAUGUUGUAGACCAUGAUUAUUGCAGUUCAUUGUCUGCAGCUACCGAAGCUUUGAUGGCAAGCACACUCCGCCUUCCAGUUGUUGCUGGGGCAAGGGUAAUUUUCUUCCUUGGUAUUCUGUGGUAGCUUGUGAGUUAGCAUGUUUCAGUCUUAAAAGGAAACAUUUUGGUUUUCUCUUCAUUUGUUCAGGCUGAUGUCCCAAAAUUGAAGGAUGCUAUAUGUUCAGCUGUGGACGUAAUGCAGGCAAUUUCCUCCUACAUCUGCCCAUUGUUUUCUAAGGUAAUUCUUUCCUUGUUUCUCUCAUCCAUAGCCUCUGUUUCGUCUCUCCCUUCCCAUGUUAUUGUUAUUUGCAAAUUUUAAGUUUCCAUCGUCCCUCUUUUAAGCACAAAGUGCAAACAUCUUCUUUUCGUAAGAACUAGCUUUCGACAAGCUGCGACCAACAAAAAUUAAAAUAAUAGUAAAAUAUUGCUACUGAUCUUAUUUCUUUGACGGAAGCAUGAAGGUUGAGUACUUCUUAGUUCUUUCAUCUACUAAUUUGUUUUUUUGUUGGGUAUUAUGCCCUGUAUUUAAAAUGGAUAGAGAUUUUCUUACAUCUAAUGAUCAAAUAUAGUUUAAAGCUUAGCUAUGACGGAAAGAAAUACGAUGAUCUCAUGAAUCUGCGUUUGUAUAAAGGUAUAGGUUUAAGUCUUCUGGGCUUAGUUUGCUUCCUAAUCUGUUUGAAUGAUGAGGUUAUACCAUGGGUGGUGCUGUUUUCAUCAACCCAAGGUAGUUUAAAUAAGCAUUCAUAAUACAGCUAACAUUAUCAGAUUACCUGUCAGUUUUUACUUGUUUUUGUACAUCUGAUGUAGCCUUCAUCAACAAAUAAACCAGCACUUGUCUUUUCUUCUCCUGUUGUCCUAUUUUUACUCAGAAUAUUUUCUUACCUGACUAAAGGAACCAGAAACUGAUUUGUAUUGUUAGAAAUGCAUGUAACCAGUCUUAAGAAGUUAAUAGAGUGCCACAAUGUGAAAUAUUGUUCAUGUUAUAAGCAUAAGCCUUAGAACUCGCUUGAUCUCUCGAGUCCAUUGGAUGGUCAUUAGUUAAGACUGUAACUACAGCCACUGAACAUAUUGAUUUGAUGCUAGUUACAGCUGCUUGUUUUUUCAAUCAAUUCUGUAAGCAUUAAAAAAUGACGCAUCAAAUUACGCAUCUUGCUUUGGGUUGAGGAUGACAAUGGAAUUUACCACUGACAUAGGAACUCUACUGACAUAUUAAAUUAGCUCACUUCCUUCAGUGAAAAUUUUGGUUUUUAUCCUUUUUCCCCUUUAUUUUUAUCAAAUUUCGUUUGUCAUUUCAUGCUUUUAUCUUUUUCUUUUCUUUUUUUUUUAAAUUUAUUUUUUCGGUUGAUAGAUUGCAGACGUCAACUCUUUGAUGGGAGAACUUCGACAUAUAAGUUCAAAUGAGAUUGCUUUACUUGACCACUGUCAAGAACUUGUAUCAACAAUUGCAGCUAUGCAGGUAAAUAUCUUAUUUAUAGUUUUAUUAGAGGAAUUGCUGUUUAUAAAUGCAUUUUUUAACCUAACUGUUCUAAUGAGCAGGUGAAAGAAUGUAGCCUGAGAACACACAUAUUACAACUAAAUCAAUUACCAUCCAGCAUAACAACGAAAUUGUAAAGCUCGUGGUGAUUUUCACUGCUUUCCUCUAAUAACUAACAUGACAUCAACCACCAUUUCCAUUUCAUCCAAACUAAAUAAUCAACUAAACCCUUGUGGUUUUAUUGCAACCAGUUUGUGCCUCAAAACAUCUAUUUUUACCCAAUUAAACCCUCGAUUGAGCGUAAAUUGGGUGGAAGCAUAUGUUUGAAGAUAUAAUUGAUUGCAGUUAAAGAAUACAGGUUUGGAUGAUUAUAUAAUUUUAGUUCCGGGGCUUUUUGUAUAUUCAGGUCCCGAAUUUAUGGUGCCAAAGGUAAAUAAGUUUCCGAUGACCAAAUCCAAUUUUUCAAGCUUGAGAGAGAAUUUGGUCUUCUGUUAUGAUAUAUGAAAUUUUAGCUAUAUGUGUAUUUUGAUGUUGUGUGGGCGGGGGGAGUUAUUUUUCAAUGUGAAAUAGUUUUACAGGGGCCCUUUUUUACCCUUUUCCUUAGGCCAAAGGAAAGUAUGUAUUUUUUUUUGUAUAAAUGAUGCUUCCAAUUUUAGUUGAAGGUUCUUAGUAUUUGUCGUUGUUUGCUUUCAUCUAAUCAAUUUGGUUUGAAUGAAAACAACUUAUAACUCCAAGCUUUAAGUGAAUUAUUUAAUAUUUUUCUUAGAAUUUGCCUAAUUGGUGUUUAUAAUGAAUUAAGAACUAUUUAAUGGAAUUAAAACUUGAUGAACUACGCUAGUGCAUUAUUGUCUAUAAAUAUAAAUUAGACAGUGGCACCUCAUUUAAAAUAAACUCUAAUGGAUUUAUUUUUAUAAAUUUUUAACGAUGUAUUAUUAUAUAUUUUACUAAUAAAUGUAUAUUAUAACAUUGAUGUGGUUUUUAUUUUUGUCAUUUCAAAUUUUUUAUAUUAUUUUGUAUAGUUUUGGAUAAAAAUUAAAUAUGGUAAUUUAAAUAUCUUAUUUAAAAAAGGGCAAUUUAUUUUUUGUUAAAAAUUUUAUAUUAAAUAAAACAGUAAAAUGAUUAUCAAACACAUUUAAAAUAUUAAAGGUUAAUUUAUUUUUCAUUUUUAAUGGUUUAUCAAACAUACGCUAUAUAAUAAAUUAAAAAUAAUAUGGACAUAUCUAAAAUGAAUUUGAAUUAGUUAUUUGCGAAUCGGAGUAAGCUUAAACAAAAUUUUAAGCUUAUAUUUCGAAUUGCGCUAGGCUUAGGCAUACAUGAAGUAUACAAAUAUCAUACAUGGACUUGACCCUACCUAGCUCAUGAAUAUCUCUAAAAUUCAUCAUGAGAUUUAAAAGUAUAUAUUUUUGAAGAAAAGAAUUGUUUAGAUUUAAACCCAAAAUUUAAAAUAAACUAUGCAAGUAUAAAAUUGGAUUUUAUUUUUAUGAAAGAAGAGUACAAAAUCUAUUCUUUUUUUAAAGAUAAAAUAUCUUUUCAAUUAAAACCUAUAGUUAAUGUGAACGGUAACACUUGCAACAACUUUACAUCAACAAAACUUUUUUUUUCAUCAAAGUAGUUGGAAGAAAACAUUUUUUUUAAAUAUUUGGAUUAAAUUUAAAUUAUGAAGUGAAUAUUAUUGAAAAAUUUUUAUUUAAAUAUCAUGGGCUUAAAUAAAAUUAUGAUGAAUAUAUAAAACAAAAACAGGGAUGACACUGACUUAAGCAUAUUUUUAUCUCAUCCCAGAAUAUUUUUAGUUUUACAGAAGAGAAGGAAAUGCAUAAUAGCCCUUUUCAUUGAGGUGUAAAUGAGUUGAGUUAUCCAAUGAAAGAAAAAAGGGAGGAGAAAAAAAGCCAAACGUGUGAUCCACAGCAUAUGCAAUAGACGCGGCGAAACGAUUGAAUGGAACCAAAAAAGCAUUGCUUCGGAGCUAAUUGUAGUCCCUUUUUCUAUCAAUAAGCUUUUGUCUUUGUUAGAAAAGGAAAGAAAAGAUGGGUUAUGCCGUGGAACCCACUUCCAAUGGAGGAGGACUAGGGCUCGCUCAACCUGACGUGCACCGCACCAUUUUUUUUUUCUCUUUUUCAUUCAUUUAUCAAUUUAAAAUAUUAAAAAAAAACCUCUGGACCCACUUUUUCCCCUUCUUCUUCCUUCCCACCAUUUUUUGUUUCCUUUUCUUUUAUUUCUUUUCUCUCUUCCUAUCAAACUCCUUUUCCGUUGCCUCCAACACUAAAACUAAAAAUAAAAUUUAGAUUUAUUCUUCUCCUUUUUUUAUGAUUUUUACUUUAAAAUUAAGAAAUUUUUAAAAAAAUCAACUCUUCCUGAUUACAGAUAAAUUUAAAAUAUAUAAAUAUAAUAUUUUAAUAUAUAAUAUCCGAAAAUUUGUACCACACAUCAAUCAAGUUCUAAUUUAAUUGUUUAAUUACUAGAAAAAAAAGUAUACUUUUUAAGUAUAUUGUUACCACGGUUUUUAUUUUAUUUUAUAAUUUUAUAUUAAAUUAAUUAAACCUAUAUAUAAUAAGAUUUGAACCUAACACCAUAAUAUUUAAGGAAUAUUAUCUGAUACCGUUUUUUACUCCAUAAACGAGGUUAAGAACACUUAACAAUCUAUCAAUCCUGCCUAAAUAACUCUACCGCCUCUGUAUCAAAUAAUUUAUCUAAUAUUUAAGCCUUUAACUUCAUUACUUCAAUUAACUUUUUUUCAUUCACAUCAUGGAUCUGUGAGAUAAUAUAAUAUAAGCUUAAUACCUCUUUUGAGCACUGUGAUCACUUUAAUACUUGUACUAUUUUUUUAUCAUUUCGACCCUUGUACUUUCAUUUUAUGUAACUCAGUACCCCAUCUAUAUUUUCCAUUAAAAAGAACACCUCAUCCAAUCAAACACUGGGACAUGAAAAAAAACUCAAAAUUCCUUGAAAUUUUAAAAAAAGAACAUGGAAGUCUUAAAUUUUCUAUAAAAAAAAUCCUAAAAUUUCAAACAAAUCAAUUUUUAAAAUUUUAUGAAAAUUUUAAUUUUUUAAGUUUUGCAUAAUUAUAAAUUUUUAAAUUUUCUUUUUGUAGUUUUGAGAAAUAUAUUAUGAUUUAAUUUAGUUUCUUUUUAUAGUUUUCUAAGCUUUAAGGAUUUUUAAUGAUUGUUUUUUGGAUUUUAAUAAUGUUUCUUAUAUUUUUAACUUUCCUUAAUACGUGGCAACGUGUUAUUGGUUGACUUAAUUUUUUAAAACAAAAAAAAAAUGGGAUAACACGGAUUACAAAAUGAAAGUAUAAGGGCCAAAUUGAUAAAAAAAAUGUACUAAAGUGGUAUUAAGCCUAUAAUAAAUAUUAUAUGUGUGUGUUUUUAAUAGGUUAGAAAAGAGAGAGAUGGAAAAGAGUGGUGGGGAAGUUAAGAAUAAGGUGACUUCAUCUUCAUGUGAGUUUCAAUUGAACCCAGCUUUUGCUUGCAAUAGUGGUUAAAGAUUCUAUUGCUUAAAUAAAUACACAGUAUAUAGAUUUUAUAUACUUCCCAUGUUAUUCCUACAAGACAACAUAUAAUCGUAAAUGAAUCGUCAUCAUUGCUCCAUCUUUGAAUGAUGUAUGAAUACAUUAUAUAGUCUAAAUCAUCAUUCAAUAUUUUAUCACACAACCUAAAUUUUACAUCUAUUUCCUUUCGCUCACAUUAUUAAUAAUUCUAUCACACACGUAAGCAUAUAGAAACCACGUAUUUAAAACACAGUUAUGAUUUUUAAAAUGAUAUUCAAUAAACAAUGAAACAUAUAAUUUUGACCUAACAAUAAUAUAAAGGACAAAAGUACCAUUGUUAUUUUUAUAAUUUCUUUAACUAGUUGGCGUCGAGUUGACUCGUAACGCCAACUUAAAAAUAUUAAAAUAGAGCUUUAGUUCACACUUUCACAUUUGCAAUUUUUGUUAUUCUUUAAAAUAAUGAAAAUAUAAAAAUACUCUCAGAAUGAUAUUGUAAAAGCUUGUUUUUCAGUGGUGUCAGAAACUGUGGCUCGAGGCCACCAAAUUCGGCGAGCAAGCUCGUAAAUUUUAUUAUUUAAUAUUUACGAGUCAAAUGUGGUUUCUAAAAAAUUUUGAAUUGGUAAUUUAAGUUUAAAAUGAAUUAUUAGGUUCGAGUGGUAAAACCCUAGGUCAAGUGGUUUUAGAAAAUGAGGUAUCGAGACCUCGUUUCUAUAAACCAAGCCGUAAAUAUUUUUAUAAAUAUUUAGGGAAUGUCAUUAAGGUGGUAUUAAAUUUUCGUUAAAAAUUUUUAAUAUUUCGAUAGUUAUUUAAUUAAAAUGGACUAAAUUAAAAAAUGUACAAAAUUUACUAAUUAUAAUAAAUGGCUUAAUUAAUAAAUAAGGAAGAAUUUAAGAAAUAAAAUAAAGUCAUUUAAUGGCAAUCUGGUAAAUAAAUUGAAAUUAAAAUAAAACAAAUUGAUUUUAAAGUUUUCUAUGCAAUUCUUCUUGAACAUUCGGCCAAAACCACCAUCAGAGAGAAAGUUUUAAGAUGGUUCUUUGUUUCAUUCAUGUGAGUUCAAUUCUUACCCGUUUUUUUGUAAUUUUUAUGUUUUUGAGAUUGUUAUAAUUAGGUCCAACUAAAUUAUACCUUAGUUUUUUAUUUUAUUAAAAAUUUUAGAAGUUACCAUUGAUGAAUAUUAGAGGUUUUUUUUUAUGAAUAACAUGGAUUUAGAGCUUUAAUUUUGUUGUAUGAUGAUUUUAUAAAGCGAUUUUGUUAAAUAUUAAUUUUAGGAUUAAAUUGUGAAAAGGUAAAAAUACAAGGGUUUGUUCUGAAAUUAUUGCAAAAAUGGGCUGUACUGAAAGCCAUGAUUAUUCAGCUAGCAUGAGUUUGCAUUAAAAAUGGUGAAUUUCCAUGUUUUGGACUCAGAGACUAAAUUGAAUAAAAGUAAAAUUUUAAGGGUAAUUUUGUAAAAAUGUCAAAAAUAACGAAAUUGCAUGAAAUGAAUUUUUGUAUUGUCUAAAUUAAAAUAUUGAAUGAAAUUAUUAAAUUAGAUCAAGAUCAAGUGGAAAAUCGAGGAAAAAUAGAAAAUUAUCAAAAUACCCCUGAAUCUUGGUAAUUCUGCAAUUUAGACAGGUAAGUUCGUACAUUUAAAAUUUAAAUUUUGUAUAAAUUGAUGAUUGGUAUUAGACAUAUAUUCUAUUGCUAGAAAUAAUUUAAUGUUCGAACCAUAAUAUUGAAUUGAACGCGAGAUUUGAGUACAUUCAUGGUUUGGCGUAUGACAGUAUUGGAGGAAGAUAUCGGCAAAUUACCCAAGUAAACCAGGGUUCAACAUUUUUUGCGAACUCUCGUGUUUUACUUUCUAUUCAACUCUUUCGAGCUUCUGUUCAACUCUUAUAAGUUUCUGUUCAACUUUUAUGAGUUUCUGUUCAGCUCUUACGAGCUUCUGUUCAGCUCUUACGAGCUUCUGUUCAGCUCUUACGAGCUUCUGUUCAGCUCUUACGAGCUUCUGUUCAGCUCUUAUGAGCUUUUGUUAACAAUGUACUCUUAUCCAUAAGUCGUUCUUCGAAUGGAAAAAUCUCGGGAGUUGUCUUGGAUGAUAAAUGUAUAUAAAGAAACGGUAAGAGAAUGAUGUGUAUUAUGAUAUAUAUAUAUGCAUAUCUUGAUAUGUUGAUACAUGGAAAUUAUGUAAGAUGAGACGAAUAAUAAACUCAAGUGUGAUAUGUUGAGAUAAUAAGGUUAUCGAUGUUGAAUUUAUAUGAAAUAUGUUCAAGAACGCUAACAAGUGUUGUUGUUUGAUGCUUAGGCAAGUGCCAAGUUAUUGGUUGAAUGAAAAUAUGUUUAAUUAUAAGAUGCAUUGAAAUGGUAAGUGCUUAUGAAAGAGUGGUAAGUUUUAAGUUAUGCAAUUUCUUAUAAAAUGACUUCUCAUAUGAUUAAUUUGAAAAAAGGAUAUGUUUAAAUGCACUAGCUUGUGGCUAUGGAGGUAUGAUAUGCUUAUGACUUGUGUGUUAUGCCUAUGGAAUGAGUGUGGAAAGUAAACAAGUGCAAAUGAGAAUAAAGGAAUUUGGAAGGGUAUAAAGUUGUUUAAAACUCUACUAUACUAGAAAUAAUAUGUAUACGUGAUGCUAUGGAUUUACUCAUUUUGUGAGUUGUUGAAUAUGGUUUCUUGAAUCGUGUGGUAUCAAUAGAUGUUUAUUCUUGAUAAGUAUAAAUUUCAUAAUGAAAUGAAUUGAUACGAUUAAAGUUUAUACGAUCUUACUAAGCAAUCAUUGCUUACGUAUUUGUUUUCCUUUAUUUUUUAGAUUAUUGGAAGCUCGAUUGGGUUGGAAGUUUAUCGGAGAUAUAUCACACUAUCCAUCGGUUCUAUCGGUAUUUCUGGAUGUUUGAUUUUGGUUAUAAUGGCUAAAUGUUGGAUUAUAUGUGUUUUAUUGGGGACUAGCCACUUAUUUGGCUUGUAUUUUGGUAUUUUGGUAGGUGCAUAAUUUGCCUUAUAAUGUUGAUGAGUGAUUUGAUUAGUGGUUAAAUGAUGAAAGGUAAAAUAGUAGUUGAAUAUGCAUAGUGAUGAUUGUAGGUUGACAAUAAAUUGGGUGAGAAAUAUGGCUUGUAAAAUGACCUAUUUCGUCCACACGGGUAGAGACACGGGUGUGUGUCUCAGCCGUGUGUGACACACGGCCAGGUAACACGGCCGUGUGUCCCCUGUAUUUUUUUUUAAAUUGCGGAAGUCAGUAUGCUCACACGGCCUAGCACAUGGGCGUGUGACCCAAGUCAGAUAGUUACAUGGGUACGAAGACGGGCUGGACACGGCUGUGUGUCCCUAUUUCGAAUGCCCACACGACCGUGUGUCCCCUGCAACUUUGAAAACUUUUAUUGUUCUUUGAAAAAAAUAAAAAUUCUUUGAGUGCCCGAUUUAGUCUCGACUUGUUCCUAUUGCAUAUUUUGGGCCUCGAGGGCUCGUAUAAAGGAUAAUAUGUUAGAUUUUAAUUGGUUUCUUACGUAAAUGUAAUAUGAUAUGAAAUAUCUGUUAAUUUAAUUCGUAAACUCUGGUAAUGCUCUGUAACCCUGUUCCGGCGACGAAUAUGGAUUAGUAGUGUUAUAAAUAUAACUUAUCUAAAAUAUUUAAGGUUGUUUUAGUAAUUUCCUUGAUUGGAGUGAUGCCGAGUUGACUUGUAAUGCUAAUUCAAUCACACACUUAAAUAAUAGUAUAAAGAACUAUUAUUUUUAAAAUUCAAUAAAAAUUAAUUAUAUAUUUGACUGUAAAAAAAAACCAAUAAUUAUUAGGAAUGAAGUUUGGGAAACUUUGAAGUUCAUGUUGAAGUUUUAUCCUAUAUGAGAUAUUAUUAUUAUUAAUCAAAGAUGGAGUAUGUAAUAUUAAAACUAUAUUAAUUGAUUGUAAUUAUAAUUGUAACCAAAAAGUAGUAGAAUUAAAUGACAUUUCUUAUUUAUCUAUAACUAUUAAUUAAAAAUAUUUUAAAAAUGAAAAAUCAAACAUAAAAAAUAAUGAUAGUGUUUGCAUUUUAGCCCGUUAAUUUUCAUGAUGAUUACGGGCUCCAAUUUAGAAAUCACAAUGUGGGUAAUUAUUAACAAAGUUGGUUAUUUAAAAAAAAGAAAUUAUGUUAUAUAAAGAUUGAAGAUGUAAAACAACACAUUAUCCGCCGUUCACUUUUUACUAAUUCAAGUUAUAAUGUGGUUAUCUUUGUCCACAUCUCCUCUCCUAUUUUGUAUAAUACAAGUACUUCCAAAUGAAUCCAGUCGGUUUUGUGAUUCAUGUCAUAAAAACUAUAUCUACUGCUAAUCACCAUUCUUAUUUCUUUUUUUAAUAUUACUCCAUUAAACAUCCUCAACUUGCAACAACAAUUGUAAUAUUCUGUGAUAAGUAUAAUUAGAUAAAUAUUAUUUAGGUUGCGGUUUCGCCAAAACAAAACCUGUUUCAAACCAAAAUUAAUGAUUUUUUAAAAAAAAAACAGUGUUUUGAUAAACUUAAAAAAUGAAGUACUGAAAAUUUAAGUUAUAAAAUUGUUUGAUAUAUUACUUAAAAUUAAUUACGGAAUAUAAUUAGAUUAUUUGAUAAAUAUAAAAUAUAUGCUACAUUUAAUCCUUAAUUUUUAAACAUUCCACCUUAUUCUAAACAAAAAUAAAAUUUUAUAAGAUUUAAAUUAAAUUAAAUUAAAUUUUCUACACUUUUUUUUAUAGAAAAGAAAUUCUAUCAAAUUGUUUUAAUUUAGAUGAUCAAACAUGUGUAAAAAUAAUAAAUUAAUUGAUUUAAUUUUUUCAAUGAUUUAUCAAAACCAAAAUAAAAUUAAAACUUCAAGAAUAUUUAAUAGUAUACUUCAAAUUAAAGUUUAAAAAAAUUGAAUUAUCAAAGACAAUGCUUUUAAUAAUGUUUUGAAUUUAAAAAUAAAAAGGAAACGUGGCAAUCUGCUCCGCACUCCCAAGCUUAUCCUCUGUUUUCGCUCUUAGCAGCGUCUAAUUUUACGUGUCCCUCCAACAAUAUUUCACCAAGUUAUUCAAUUAAAUAAAAUAAGUUUUCUUUAUUAUUUUCUCUUCAUUAUUCACUACAAGAUCGCCGGCUUAUCAAAAAAGACCGCUUUUUUUUCGUUUUUCAAGUCUUACGUUUACUCAAACGAAGAGUUUCAAAAUCUUUCUCUCUUGCCUUCCUUCAUAUUCGUUGCUUUCGGAAGCAGUUAUCUCUGAUUCCUCCGAGUACAUCGACAUCGUUUUUGCUUUCUUCUUUUCUUCUUCGUAUCGCCUUCCGGCACGUCUUCCGUUACCGGACUUAGUCGUCGUCAAAGAGAGGCUUAGAUCCGACGCCGCCGAAGCCGAUUGAUUGUCCAUCAUCAUCAUCCUCAUCAAAGGAUUGGACUCGGCGUAGCGGCUUGGGAAGUGGUACGACUCGUCGCCACAGAAACGAUCAGAUGACUCGUCGCAACUUGGCCUCCAAACUCCGGCUGAAAUCUCCGAAACAGGCCGUAAGGAUCCGCCUCGAAGAACCGUAUCCACCGCCGCCUGACAGAUAUGCCAGUUCCCACUGGAUAACAGCCCUACCGCUCCGUUCACCGGAUUCACGGUACGACCACAUGCCUCGAACAAUAAAGACUGAAACAAAGCUAACAAAAUUCCAAAAAAACAAAAACACUCUUAAAUAUACGUAAAGAAUCAAAUCAGAAAUUCGAUAACGUAAAUAGAAAAUGAAGUAUUCUUGUAAAAAUUACCAGGGCGUUGGGAUUCAGGUACAGAAGAGAUAAGAGAAAGUAAGUCACUACGGCCGAAAAACUUGGCGAGAAAUAAGGUGGCGUUGCCUUGGGCUUCGGGGGAUUCGAUCCAACGUAAGCUUGACCGUAACACACAUGUCUCCCUGCACCCUUUUCGGAGCACUCGGCAACCGUUGCAGCUCAUAUUUCCCCCCUCAACUAACCACCGUCUGAUCUUGAAAAGAAAAGAAAAAACUGAUCCUUCUAUUUGACCGGUGAUUACUUGGGUUUCAAGCAAAGCAGGUAAAGAAAGUGGGCAAAAGGAGUGAGUGAGCUUGAAAAAAGCACAAGAGAAAGAAGAGAGGAGGAGGGUGGUAUUUUAAUGAACGUGAUAGUUUAGGGGUUGAGUUAAGUUAACUGUGGUUGGGUUAAGGGGUAUUGUUAUUUUAUUUGGAUUUAUGACGGUGGGGGGGAAUAUGAAUAUCUUCCAAACUCUGGGCACGAGCGGCUCCGUGUUUCCGCUUCCUUUUUUAUGUUUUUAUGACCACCGUUGGAUUCCAAACUUUUUGAUUGAUGUGGAUCGUUGGAUUAGUUUUGUCCAUCCAAAUCUUUUCAAUCUUUUUUGUACUUCCCUCUUAGUACGAUUUAUCAAACACUAGAAGCCGGCAGAAUCUGAUCCUUGCUCUUCUUCUUAAUUACACCCUUUAAUUCACCAGUUAAAAUUUGAUUAUUACACUAAAAAAUUACUUCUCAACUAUUGUGUGGAGUAAAAUUCAAAAAGAAGGCAUAGCUUUAUGAGAGUAAAAGAAAGGUGCUGUAUUAUGGGUAAUGAUGAUAAUUUUGAUAAUAUUAGUGGGGGAAUAUAAUCUUAAUUGAGAUGGGGAUUGAAAUUGUACAUAUAGAGUAGUUGAGGACAAAACCAGACAACAAUAUCCUUAUCAGCACAGGUUCCACUUUAGCAUUAGUCAAGAAACAGUAAUGGAACAUGUUGGUUGCUAUAGGAAUAUAAUUUGAUUUUGUCGACAAACCUACCUAGUUCUCAGCUAAGCUUAACGCCACCCAACCUUUGUUUUUAUUUUCUUUAGCUGUCUAAAUUCUAUUUGUUGCAUACACAGAUCAAAGGUCUAACAAGCUUCGAAUCUGUCUCCCACCAUCUACAAAAUGAACUCGACGAACCAAUGGGCCUUAUCUUUGGAACAUGAUUAUUGUCAUUAUUAUUAUUAUCUUCUUCUUAUUAUCUGUUACAGAACAUGAAACCUUAUUCGUCAGUCUAGGAUUUGAAACCGGUCGAUGGCAGAUUGUGAAGGAGCUGCCCAUUCCAUGGCAGAUAAACAACAGAAUAAUUGGUUGAAAGCAUCUAUGUUCAGGAUUGGGUAAGGAAUUUAUAUUCCUCUGCUGCACAUCAGGCUUUUGUCUCAUUGUAUUUAUGUAUUUGGCAUGCCAUUGCAGUCAGUUUUACUUGAGACCUACACUGGUAAAUGGUGAUAGAAAAGAUCAAUGACCAGAUUAUUUUUAGUUUCGUUAAUAAUAAUAUUAAUAAUUAUUCUUUUUUCAAUUGUCAUUAAUCUGAAAAUACAAAUAAAUACCAACCGUUUCCAAAUGACUUAUUUACUUUCUUAUAUAUCAAUUCUAAGCCCUUUGACAUUGAGAAAGGAUGAUUUUUUACCUACUUCAUAAUAGUGAAAAUAUUAUCAUAGCAUGCGUUCUUAAAUGUUGAAGUUUAUAUAGAUGCACAUGCACCAGUUAUACUCAUGUUUGAUCCUUCUAAGUCAUAUUAUAUAUGAAAAUAAAAACUAGAUCAGAUUUUUACGUGCACUGUAUUCUUUUUUUUUGGUGUAGGGGGGAGCCUUUUUGUGCAAAGUAGUGGUGGUGGUGAUGGUGGAGAAUGGAGUGUGUGGGUGUCCAUGAAAAUGACAUCAUUGUUUCUUUGUCUAAAUUAUCAGCAGAUAGUUCAGCGGUGUGUAGCAAUGUAUGAAAGUUCUCUAUAGUAUAUAUACUAUUACUUUAGCAUGCGUCUUAUCAGAUACUACAGAAGUGAAGAAAUCUGUCUCAUUUAAAUGCUAUUAUUCCUUUAGUUUGCCUAGGAAGUGCAAGGUAUAAUUGUACUAUUUUUAGUUUGCAUGAUUUAUCAAAGGAUAAUAUGUAGAUGGAUAAUGGGAAACUUGAGUGAUUGCCCAAGGUUGAAAAAGAUAGGAAUUUUGAAGCUUAGCUAGCCACCCUACUUCUUUCAGCCACUGAAGCUCCAAAAUCUGUCUAUUUGCGUUCAAAAUGAAAUUUAAUGAUAAUAGUGAUCUCUGUAUUGAAUAUAUAAGGUAAUAGUAAUCUCUAUAUUUUCAAAUUCCAGCUCAAUUUUAGAUGCAGACGGGGCGUCUCGGCAUCUACUAGCUCAGUUAAACCCUGCAGCCAUAGACUUGAGCUUAGUUUGGGCCUCUCGAGGCUUCAAGAGCUGUUUAUUAAGUUUAUGUUAUUAUAAAUUUGUAUGAAAGAUCCAGCUAAAACGACUACUAGCCCGUCUAGCUCAGUCGGUAGAGCGCAAGGCUCUUAACCUUGUGGUCGUGGGUUCGAGCCCCACGGUGGGCGAAUGUUUUUCCCCUUUUGGNNNNNNNNNNNNNNNNNNNNNNNNNNNNNNNNNNNNNNNNNNNNNNNNNNNNNNNNNNNNNNNNNNNNNNNNNNNNNNNNNNNGGUGUUUGAUAGAAGAAGCUUAAGGUCCAGGUUUGACAACAUCAGAUCAUAUUCCAUUCCACUUUUGAAGGCAUUGGUUGAUUGCAAAUCUCGUUUUUGUCCUCAAGAAAAGGACGCAAGCAAAUUGAAAACCCCUUUGACGGAGCAUUUUAUUUUGUUAAUGGUAAAUGUGGAAGCCAGAUAUCCUCCACUUGUGAUUCCCCAUCCAAAAAUGCACUACUCAUCAACGCCCUUCUUCCAUCAUCUCGGCUCCAUAUCAAACUUUCAUUCAACACUUAAACUACAAACCUUCAAAGAAAAAAGAAAAAAAAACAAGCUCCCUUUCCAUCACUAAUCCCACUUACAACAACAACAAGUGGUGUGGGGUGGAAGGUGGAGUUUCUAUAACUAAAAGCCUCUGCUUGAAUUCUUCAACUAUAUCCUCAUGAAAGAAGAACCUACAGCAAAGUUGACUUUAGAGAUGUGUUUAAACUAUUUCAAGUUUUUAGAGGCAACUAUAUUAAAAUUUUAUCUGAUAUAAGUUUUGGGUUUUGAUAGCUUAUAAAUAUCUAAAAUGAUCAAGUUAAUUUGGACCACCUUAUUAUUCUUUUCCGUAGAUGAUAAACAAGUUGUGGAAUUGCAGUGUAUCUGGUCUAGUUUUCAAUUGUGAAAAAUAAUAGAGAGAAGAGGUAGAGUUGCAUUUGGGUUAAACCACUUGCCAAAACCCGAUUAUAUAGUUUCAUGGUAAGGUAUAUCUAAAGCUAUGGGUGGAGGAGGACCACCGUUUCCCUCUUGUGAAAGAUAGCUAUUAUUCAAGUCAUUUUUUGACUUCAGCUUUUUCGUUUGUUUACUUUUAAUUUGUCUUUGCCCACCAAUCUAGAACGCCGACCUUCAUACCCAAAGUCAUACCGUACGGUCAAAUGCUCACAUACAAAGAACUUGGAGCCCCAUUGAACCUUCUUAAACCAUUGCCCCUGUGAAGUUUUGGCUUUGGAUAUUUUAGGUAUUUUGACACAAAAUUAAGAAUUUUAUAGCAAAAUGGGACUCUUAGAUUAAAAUUUACUAUUCAGCAUUUGUCAUCAACAUCUGUCAGAAGAAAUACAAAAUUAACUGACAUAAAAAGAAAUAAUCUAAGAGUUUUAUUUGAUUUUUUUUAAAAAAAAAUCUAAAGCAUCCUAAACUAUAAUUUUGAUUCAAAUAGAAUAUAUAUUGAGAUGUUUUGUAAAAUAAAUUGUGAUCACUGUUGUAUGUCCUAACACUCAUCAUCAUACUAUUACUCUAAAAUUAAAAAAUAAAAAUAAAAAACAGUAUUUAAUUGUAUUUGGUAUAUAGCACUUUCAUUUCAUUAGUUAAGCUGAUUAAACAAAAUAAUCCACCCUUUAUAGAAUAGAAUAUAUAGAGUCGGUUUGCCAACCACCUUAUACAUUAAUCAUUGAGCUACUAUGUACUCCAUUUUAUCUUAAUUAAACCUAAGACAUUUAUCUGACCGACCUAUUAUAUCAAUGAGGAUUGAGAUGAGACCACAGCCACAAAUGCAUCUAUCAAAGGAGAGCUUAUCUCUUCUCAACUUGGAUUUAUUGACGAAAAAAAAAAUUCUUUAUUACAAGGUUUUGCCAAACAAAGCCCCCCUUAUUGCAUUAGCAAAGGCAACACUGUCUGCUACUCUAGUUGACUUCACCGCACUUUUUUUUUUUUUGUUUAAUUUAGACUUUCAGCUUCCUUUUUUAUGAAAGAAGAUCAUCUCAUAAAAGGGGCUUUUGUUUUCCCAACUUUGGCUGUGAACCAUAAGUAAAACUAAUUACGGCAUAAGGCAUAUCUUUGUUGUUUGUUUAAUACGUGUAAGCUGUAUGUUUUUGAAUUUAUUAAGGCGGAAAAUUCGGUUGGAAAUAGGGAAGGCGGAACUCUACUAGAAGAGGAUUUUGCCAACUCACCAAAUUCCUGCUAAUCUCUUUCAGAUGGCAAAUUAAACAAGGAAUUAAUUCCUUACGCCCUUGCCUUAAUUACUGUAUAAAAUAUAUGUAAGAAUGGUUAGCCACCGCUACCACUUUUGGGAGUUGGAGUAGACAAAUGGUGGCAUCAUAAUUCACUAAGAAGAAUCCGAAUCACUUUCCUAUCAAUCAUUCACUGAAUAACCACAACCAAUAAUAAUACUCUUUAAAAAGUUUAUAUAUAUAAAAAAGGAGGCCCCUUACAUUGAGCAAAAGGCCAUCUACCUGUCAUCCUAAUCUCUUCCCCUCACACGGAAAACGGCGUGCCAAAACAAAACAGAGAGCUCUCCACUCCAGCUCCAAAGCUCCCAUCCCCCAUGCCUAUCUUCUUAUCCACAUGCACCAAACAUCCCUUCUCCUCACCUCCACUUCCCAACACUCGUUGAAAUAUUUUAAAUAAAACUAUAAAUUGAGAAUAUUAGGCCAAGAAUCGAUGAAAGCAUGCAACAUGGACAUGAUCCUCUCAUUCCCUACCAGUUAUAAACAUCCAUCCCUUUCAUGCAACAAACAACACUCCUUGAAUUGCCACCUCAUUUAUUGCGCACGUUCACUGUAUUAAAAUAAAAUUUUACAACUGUAAGCCUAAGAUAAGUACCAAAUUGUGAAGAAUUAAUUGAAUUCACUAAAUAAUAAACACAGUAGCAAUUGAGACUGAUGAUGAGUUGUUCAAGUGCUAUGUACAGAGGCCAAAAACGAAAAUUGUUUCACCAAAACAAAAGAA